CGGACGGAGUCCAAUAUUGCAAUUUUCUCGCGCGAAAGAAUAAUCUCCCGUCUCGUCGUCUACUCCGCUCCUUGUGCCAUCUCGCGGCGGAACAGGGGAGGGGAGGGGCGGCGAUCUCCAUCCGGCGAGCGGCGAGCGGCGAGCAGCGAGCAGAGCAGAGCAGGGGAGGAGAUCCUGGGCUUCUCCUUUCUUCAUAAUGUAGGCAAUAUAGGUUUAGGGGGUGCCAAAUUGGAUCGUAGCGUCGUCUCCGUCUCCGUCUUGUCCACAGCUCCAGGCUCCACUCCUUGUGCUGCCACCCUCCCCUUUGCUUUGGACGUCGCCUCCUCAUCAAUGCACGCCGAGCGUCGCGUCUUCCUCCAGCUCAUCUCAACGCCGGCGGCCGGUUCCACGCGGUGGCCGCGGCGGCCUCUGCCCCUCCGCUCGUUCCUCUCCUUGGCUCCUGAUCGUUUGCUUGUUUAUAUAUCAGAUUCAUGUUCUUCAUUUCUGUGCUGGUUAGUAUUUCCAAUCACCAACGCUUUCUUCAAGAAUGGAGGAGUAAUGGAGUAUGAGGUAAAGUGCAGUAGUGCUGUCAUUGGCAUUCUGGAUGCAGCCACAGUAUAUGCCAUUUAUCUUGUCUUGUUUGUUCAUUGA
rnacentral:lncRNA from 1 species